rnacentral:sRNA from 1 species
UGUGGUGAAGGUCUGAACUCUCUACCAACCUGGCCAAGGACAAGGGAAGUCUCGAUGGAGUGCUGAGAGCCUUGAAAAAUCAAGGGUUUGAAAUCAUUGAGAGGGGUGAAAUCGAAGUGAAAGGUAAAGGGAAAAUGACCACAUACUUUUUGAUCCAGAACUUGAAUGCCACAGAGGAUGAGAUCAUGGGGAGAUCUAAAACCCCACUUGAUCACAAGGGUAAGCAAAAAAAAGAAGCUUUGUCAUUAGUGUUGAGUAGUUUUUCCACUAACCACUUCAGAUAUAUUUAGUAUCUGCACGGUCAACACAGAUAGCGUCCCUGCCCACCACCAAGCUCCAGGGCUCAGUUCAACCAUCUUGCCCUGAUUCUUGCAUCCUGGUUAUUAUGAUGUUCUUUGAGCUGGGCUGAUAGAUCCAGCUGAAGAGUUCUACAUACAUUAGUCUUCAAGGUUCUUCUCUGGGCGUUUCCCAUGCAGCUCUCUGGUAGCUGGGGAAUGAUUUAAGCAAGUGCUCAGGGAAAUCAAGACAGGAGAACUGUUGCCAUCAUGAGCUAUGCCGACAGUCAGCAGCUGAUCCCCGACAGAGACGCAGCAGACGCAGACG